GACGAACGCUGGCGGCGUGCUUAACACAUGCAAGUCGUACGGUAAGGCCCUUUCGGGGGUACACGAGUGGCGAACGGGUGAGUAACACGUGAGUAACCUGCCCACAACUUUGGGAUAACGCUAGGAAACUGGUGCUAAUACUGGAUAUGUGCCCCUGCUGCAUGGUGGGGGUUGGAAAGCUCCGGCGGUUGUGGAUGGACUCGCGGCCUAUCAGCUUGUUGGUGGGGUAGUGGCCUACCAAGGCGGCGACGGGUAGCCGGCCUGAGAGGGUGACCGGCCACAUUGGGACUGAGAUACGGCCCAGACGCCUACGGGAGGCAGCAGUGGGGAAUAUUGCACAAUGGGCGCAAGCCUGAUGCAGCAACGCCGCGUGCGGGAGGACGGCCUUCGGGUUGUAAACCGCUUUCAGCAGGGACGAAGCUUUUUGUGACGGUACCUGCAGAAGAAGCACCGGCUAACUACGUG
rnacentral:rRNA from 1 species